rnacentral:rRNA from 1 species
AGAGUUUGAUCCUGGCUCAGGACAAACGCUGGCGGCGUGCCUAACACAUGCAAGUCCUACGAGAACCACGGAGCUUGCUCCGUGCAGUAAAGUGGCGAAUGGGUGAGUAACACGUAGAUAACCUACCUCGGGGAAGGGGAUAACCUCUCGAAAGGGGGGCUAAUACCCUAUAAUGCAGCGGGCUCUUCGGAGCAUGUUGUUAAAGCUGGGGACCCUUCGGGGCCUAGCACCUUGAGAUGGGUCUGCGCUUGAUUAGUUUGUUGGUGAGGUAAUGGCUCACCAAGACGACGAUCAAUAACUGGUCUGAGAGGAUGUCCAGUCACACUGGGAUUGAGAUACGGCCCAGACUCCUAAGGGAGGCAGCAGUGAGGAAUUUUGCGCAAUGCUCGAAAGAGUGACGCAGCAACGCCGCGUGGUCGAUGAUGACUCCGAGGAGUGUAGAGACCUGUUGGGAGGGAAGAAAACCCCAUACAAAUAGUACUGGGAAUUGACGGUACCUCUCAUAGAAAGCUCCGGCUAACUUCGUGCCAGCAGCCGCGGUAAUACGAGGGGAGCAAGCGUUGUCCGGAUUUAUUGGGCGUAAAGGGCGUGUAGGUGGAUUGAUAAGUCAGGUUUUAAAGAGUACGGCUCAACCGUAUCAAUGGGUCUG